AGACAGCAGCCGCCACGGUAAUACAGAGGGUGCGAGCGUUAAUCGGAUUUACUGGGCGUAAAGCGUGCGUAGGCGGCUUCUUAAGUCGGAUGUGAAAUCCCUGAGCUUAACUUAGGAAUUGCAUUCGAUACUGGGAAGCUAGAGUAUGGGAGAGGAUGGUAGAAUUCCAGGUGUAGCGGUGAAAUGCGUAGAGAUCUGGAGGAAUACCGAUGGCGAAGGCAGCCAUCUGGCCUAAUACUGACGCUGAGGUACGAAAGCAUGGGGAGCAAACAGGAUUAGAUACCCGAGUAGUCCCUGUCUCUUAUAC
rnacentral:rRNA from 1 species